rnacentral:rRNA from 1 species
AUUGAACGCUGGCGGCAUGCUUUACACAUGCAAGUCGAACGGUAACAGGCCGCAAGGUGCUGACGAGUGGCGAACGGGUGAGUAAUGCAUCGGAACGUGCCCAGUCGUGGGGGAUAACUACUCGAAAGAGUAGCUAAUACCGCAUACGAUCUAUGGAUGAAAGCGGGGGACCGUAAGGCCUCGCGCGAUUGGAGCGGCCGAUGUCAGAUUAGGUAGUUGGUGGGGUAAAGGCUCACCAAGCCAACGAUCUGUAACUGGUCUGAGAGGACGACCAGCCACACUGGGACUGAGACACGGCCCAGACUCCUACGGGAGGCAGCAGUGGGGAAUUUUGGACAAUGGGCGCAAGCCUGAUCCAGCAAUGCCGCGUGCAGGAAGAAGGCCUUCGGGUUGUAAACUGCUUUUGUACGGAACGAAACGGCUCUGGUUAAUACCCGGGGCUAAUGACGGUACCGUAAGAAUAAGCACCGGCUAACUACGUG